rnacentral:RNase_P_RNA from 1 species
AGGUAGAGGACCGCGGGUCAAGCUUUUCACCGCUUGAUUCGAGGAAAGUCCGGACUCCACAGGGCAAGGUCGCUGGCCGCAAGUCCAGCGGGAGCGAUCCCGGGAAAGUGCCACAGAAAAGAUACCGCCGCUGGCCCUACGUAGGGCAGAGGUAAGGGUGAAAAGGUGGGGUAAGAGCCCACCGCCCCGGCCGCGAGGUCUGGGGGCAGGGCAAACCCCGGCCGGAGCAAGACCGAAUAGGCAGACGUUUUCGGGCGGCCCGUCCGAGCGCCUCUCUUAGAGAGAGGCCGCGUCUGCGGGUAGGUCGCUAAGAUGGAUGGUCCUCCACGACAGGAUCCGGCUUACGCCU